GACGAACGCUGGCGGCGUGCCUAACACAUGCAAGUCGAACGGAGUAUUACGUUGAAAUGAUAUUAGCUUGCUAAAGGAUUUUCUUGUGAUACUUAGUGGCGGACGGGUGAGUAACGCGUGAGCAACCUGCCUUUCAGAGGGGGACAACAGUUGGAAACGACUGCUAAUACCGCAUAACAUGUGACUGUGGCAUCACAGACACAUCAAAGAUUUAUCGCUGAAAGAUGGGCUCGCGUCUGAUUAGAUAGUUGGUGAGGUAACGGCCCACCAAGUCGACGAUCAGUAGCCGGACUGAGAGGUUGAACGGCCACAUUGGAACUGAGAUACGGUCCAGACUCCUACGGGAGCAGCAGUGGGGAAUAUUGGGCAAUGGGCGCAAGCCUGACCCAGCAACGCCGCGUGAAGGAAGAAGGCUUUCGGGUUGUAAACUUCUUUAUAAGGGACGAACACAAUAGACGGUACCUUAUGAAUAAGCCACGGCUAAC
rnacentral:rRNA from 1 species